AACAUAGCAACAACAUUUGACACGAUGUUGCAGCGGUGGUGUUUAGACAAGAAAAGGAUUCAUGUUGUGCUUCUUGACAAUGGCAGAAACAUAAGCAAAGCACUUGAUGAAAGCAACCUGACAAGUUUGCCCUGCAUGGCGCAUACGUUACAGCUCGUUGUAAAUGAGGGGCUGCUGUCCCAGCGAAGCAUCACUGAUGUGGUGGCAACUGCAAGGAAGAUUGUCGGACAUUUUAAACACUCAACCCUCGCCUAUUCACGACUUCAUGACAUUCAGGCACACUUGGAUCAGCCCAAUAAAAAACUGCAGCAAGAUGUUCCAACUAGAUGGAAUAGCACAUACUAUAUGCUGCAGUCGCUGGUGGAACAGAGACGUGCUUUGGGGCAUACGCUGCCGAACACGAUCUGUCAGCCACACUCAACGCGCAUCAGUGGGGGCUUAUUGAGAACGUUAUGAGCCUGCUCACACCUUUUGAGGAACUCACAAAAGAAAUUACCUUCUGUACCGCAACAGCUGCUGACGUCAUUCCAGCCAUAACUGCACUUAAACGGCUUUUGGAGAAAGGAGCAGACACAGAUCGUGGAAAAACCACACUGCUGGAGGCGGUGCAGAGGCGGUUCAGCAAAAUUGAAAGGCAGCCACUGUAUACUUUGGCCACUGUUAUUGAUCCCAGGUACAAGAAUCACUACUUUUCAGCAGAAGUUAAAGACCAAGUGAAACAGGUGCUUUUGGCUAUGCUGGAGGGGCAGACCAGACAUGCACUUGAUGAACCUGUUGCAGGAGCAUCUGCAGUACAUGGUCUUGUCACAGAAGCACCUUCAGCCAAAAAGCCAUGUAGUCUACUACUUUCAGUACAUGAUGAAAUACUGAAGGAGAAUGCUGAGGUGGAGCAGUUGCUGGCCAGCCCCUCAUCUGUGCAGGUACAGAGCUACCUCUCUGAGUUGCCCAGCAGCAGAAGCAAAAACGCUUUGGCCUACUGGAGGAUCAACAAAGAUCAUUUCCCUGCACUUGCUCCACUUGCCUGAGCCUACCUCUCUGCUCCAUGUACAAGCUUUGAAAGGGAGCGCUUGUUUAGCUUAGCUGGAAAUGUGAUAGAUGAAAGGAGAAAUCGAUUACCAGGUGACAAGGCAGAGAUGCUUCUGUUUGUGAAGAAAAACUUGCCAUUAAUGCUCAAGUAACAUUUUGCCUAUACAUAUGCUGGCAACAUUUAUUACCCACUUACUGCACUAUUAUUAUUUGGAAGAGUUUUGUACACUUCAGUUUUGUUCACUCAUCGGAUCUUUUGACUUUUGUAAGACAAGUAAAAAAGGUAAAUUUAUAAAGUUUUUUUUUUGUUUGUUUGUUUUAUAAAGCAACUCAUUUUCAGUUAAUUGUUAUUUCUACUUCUUUCCAGUCACAGAGCACUUUUAUUUUUUGAGAGUUGUUUAAGUUAGAGAAGAUCCUGUAACUUGGGAAAUUGUAAUGUUUAAUUUCUUUUAUUAUGAAAAUAAAAUUUUGCUUUAAAGAAAAGUAAAUUUUUGU
ensembl:lncRNA